AUACGAAAGGUGCAAGCGUUGUUCGGAUUUACUGGGCGUAAAGAGAGUGUAGGUGGUUUAUUAAGACGGAUGUGAAAUCCCGGGGCUCAACCUCGGAACUGCAUUCGAUACUGAUAGGCGAGAGGUUGGGAGGGGUAAGCGGAAUUCCGUGUGUAGCAGUGAAAUGCGUGGAUAUACGGAGGAACACCUGAGGCGAAGGCGGCUUACUGGACCAAUACUGACACUGAGACUCGAAAGCGUGGGUAGCAAACAGGAUUAGAAACCCUAGUAGUCC
rnacentral:rRNA from 1 species